rnacentral:rRNA from 1 species
AGUGAACGCUGGCGGUAGGCCUAACACAUGCAAGUCGAACGGCAGCACAGUAAGAGCUUGCUCUUACGGGUGGCGAGUGGCGGACGGGUGAGGAAUACAUCGGAAUCUACUUUUUCGUGGGGGAUAACGUAGGGAAACUUACGCUAAUACCGCAUACGACCUACGGGUGAAAGCAGGGGAUCUUCGGACCUUGCGCGAUUGAAUGAGCCGAUGUCGGAUUAGCUAGUUGGCGGGGUAAAGGCCCACCAAGGGGACGAUCCGUAGCUGGUCUGAGUGGAGGAUCAGCCACACUGGAACUGAGACACGGUCCAGACUCCUACGGGAGGCAGCAGUGGGGAAUAUUGGACAAUGGGCGCAAGCCUGAUCCAGCCAUACCGCGUGGGUGAAGAAGGCCUUCGGGUUGUAAAGCCCUUUUGUUGGUAAAGAAAAGCAGCAGGUUAAGACCCCGCUGUUCUGACGGUACCCAAAGAAUAAGCACCGGCUAACUUCGUG